CCCGCUUUGCCGGCGGGGGCUCUGUCCGGGGCAGGGCUGAGGCACUUUGCCAGAGCGCGUGGGGGCCUCCAGCCUGAGCCGGCUGCUGAUCUUUCUCCGUCAGACGCGCACGGGCCUCUUCCUUGCCGGGUCUAUGUCCCUGGUCCCUUUGGUUGCCCCGGGGUGCGGCCUCUCGGCUUCCCCCGCCAGUCCAGUUUGUUCUCAUUGCGGAUCCGGAGUGGGGGCAGCAGAGAGGAUGCCGGUCAAGUUUUCUAAACCUUCAAGCGUUUUUGUUCGUCUCCUCUGGACUGUCUCCAGUUUGGCCACAUCUUUCCUACAGUGCGGUACCCAGAACUGGACACAAUACUCCAGCGCCGAGCAGAGCGGGACAAUGACCUCCCGUGUCUUACAUACGACGCUGCUGUUAAUACACCCCAGAAUAUAUUCGCCUUUUUCACAACUGCAGCACACAGGUGACACAUUCAAUUUGUGCUCCACUAUGACCUUUUCAGCAGUGCGACACAUAGACCAAUUCUCAAAUUUGUCCAGGUGGUUUUGCAUUCGAAUCCUGCCCUCCAAAGUGCAAAAGC